rnacentral:rRNA from 1 species
UACGGAGGAUGCAAGCGUUAUCCGGAUUUAUUGGGUUUAAAGGGUGCGCAGGUUGUUUGAUAAGUCAGUGGUGAAAGUCUGUCGCUUAACGGUAGGAUUGCCAUUGAUACUGUUGGACUUGAAUAUGGAUGGGGUAGGCGGAAUGUGUAGUGUAGCGGUGAAAUGCAUAGAUAUUACACAGAACACCGAUUGCGAAGGCAGCUUACUAAUCCAUCAUUGACGCUGAGGCACGAAAGCGUGGGGAUCAAACAGGA